AACAAACGCUGGCGGCGUGCCUAAUACAUGCAAGUCGAACGGGGAAAGCUUUCGGGUGAGUACUAGUGGCGCACGGGUGAGUAACGCGUGGAUAAUCUGCCUUGAAGAGGGGGAUAACCAGUCGAAAGAUUGGCUAAUACCGCAUAAGACCACAGGAACUGAGGUUCUAGAGGUCAAAGGUUUUUCGCUUCAAGAUGAGUCCGCGUAAGAGUAGCUAGUUGGUGAGGUAACGGCUCACCAAGGCGACGAUCUUUAACUGGUCUGAGAGGAUGAUCAGUCACACUGGAACUGAGACACGGUCCAGACUCCUACGGGAGGCAGCAGUAGGGAAUAUUGCACAAUGGAGGAAACUCUGAUGCAGCGACGCCGCGUGAGUGAUGAAGGCCUUCGGGUCGUAAAGCUCUGUCGCAGGGGAAUAACACAAUGAAGGUACCCUGUAAGAAAGGAUCGGCUAACUUCGUGCCAGCCGCCGCGGUAACAC
rnacentral:rRNA from 1 species